rnacentral:lncRNA from 1 species
GUGCCUCUUAAGUCCACAGCAUACCUGCUACAAGUUCAGUACUCAGAAGUACAAAGUUAUACAACAGAAAAUAGAGAGCAAGAAGAAGAAAAAAGAAGCCAAAAUUAGUUCAAUGUUGAAAAAGGAAAACAGCAGCAACAACUGGGCAAAGGUGUGCGACACUUGCCGGUCUACUGCAUGCACCGUUUACUGCAGGGCCGAUUCUGCAUAUUUGUGUGCGGGCUGUGACGCCCGCAUACAUGCAGCAAACCUUGUGGCUUCACGUCAUGAGCGCGUUUGGGUUUGCGAGGCGUGUGAACGCGCUCCUGCAGCCUUUCUUUGCAAGGCGGAUGCUGCCUCGCUUUGUGCCUCCUGCGACGCUGAUAUCCAUUCUGCUAACCCCUUGGCACGCCGUCACCACCGUGUCCCAAUUAUGCCCAUUCCAGGUAAUGCCUUUAAUUGAAGUCGAGCACAGAUACAAAGAUUUUCAAAAAACCUUAUAAUCCAUAA